GUUGAAGGAGGCCUGGUUGGAGCAUAUCCCAUGACAUUGAGUCCGCUGCAGUUUCACACGUUAGUGUAAAAAGUUGCCUUUUUCCCUGUAUGCACCCAUCUCCCUAAAACCUCAACUUCUCUAUUCCUCAGUGCAUUUCUUCAGCACUUCACAACUCAACUCUCCAUCCAAUGGAUAAUGUGUCUGACAUCCAACUAAGGACUUACUCAUCAUUCGAAUCCAUGGACCAAAUUUGUAUUCCAUAUGAUAUCACUAAGAUUACAAACUCUAGAAUUAACUGUUAAUCAUCAAGGGAUCAACAUUUAGAGAAUAAAAAAAAGAAAGCGCUCUCCUCAUCCCCACAAGUACCAAUGAAGUAUUCUGGGCAUAUCUUGUAGGUAUCCAAUUUUUUAUUUUAACUUUGAUUGUUAAAGUAAGUAUUUGACAUGUAUCUUAUUCAUAUGUAGCAAGUACGGGUUGGAUAUGAGCACCAUUUGCAAUUUGAAUUAUCUUCGAAGUACUGUGAAUAUAUCCAAGAAGUAUUCAAAGCCUUGUUUAUUUUUUAUAUUUUAGCUUUUGAUGUAUUUUACCCAUCUAUAUCCAACAAGUAGUGGGAUACUUGCACAGAAUGCGAUUUGAAUGAUCCAUGUUAUCUAGGCUUUGUAUUAGUCAAGUCAUUAUGAUAGAUAAUUUUCUUUUCUAACAGCUUGACCGGUUAAUAGAUCAUUUAAAUGUAUAGAACCAUUUUCAUGCAUAGUGAUCAAAGAGCAUUAACUAACUUUUAACCUUUUUGACAACCAUGAAGCAACAAGCUAGAACAUUAUUUAGGAAAAACAUGAAUUGGAUAUGUGAUAAAGGAUUUAGCUGCUUGGCAAUUCCCAAACCAUGUCCUGUAUGAACUCUUACAACUCUUCUUGAGUUUUUGUGUUGGGUCUAUUGGAAUUUAUUUUGAUGAUGUCCGGUAAAGUAGCCUAAUUCUAGCUACUUAAGUGUAACUGAACUAGUCGCUGAUAUGUUUGCUGCUUCCAAUUGACCAUGGUUUGCUAAAAGGUUGUGCAUCUGAUAGUGAUUAUUUUGAUGAUUCUAGUACAGCAGAUAAUUACUUUAGCUUUGUCUCUUUACCUACUGGAGAAAAUAAUUGUUGCCAUAUCACGAUUACAACAUUAACUUCAGUUAGAUUAAUUCUUUUCAUAAUUAGAUCUGACUGAAUUUUUUUAUUAAUUUUUCGGUGAUGACAGGAAGCUAUUAUCAAUCGAAUGGAUGUUUUAAAUCCUCAGGUAUGCUUCAUUGAUGCCUUAUGAUGGAUAAGAUAUUUGUCAUAAAGCUUUAUAAAAGGGGAAAAAGGAAAAAAGUCGAAAGGAUGUUUUCUUCUUUCUUGCAGUAUGCAUCUUGUUUUUUUUUUUUCCAUCUUUGUUGUUUUUCUUUUGUUGACUCUUUCGGGGAUAUCAAUAUUUCUACGGAUAGCUAAGCAUAGUCUGAAUAUUGUGCAGAGUUGCAGAAGUCUCUUGGAAAUGAUGGUUCUAGAUAACCACCUUAUGGUGAGGUUGAUGCAUCAAACUACUACAUCUGGUCCUCCAGCGAUAUUCCAAGACCUUUUCCGUUCCAAGUUAUGUAAAUCAGAAUCAGUGUCCCGAAAACAUUUUUUCGCUAAUCCAAUGAGUACACACCUACUUUAAUUGGCUAAUUAUUAUUAAUGUUUUCUCUUAAAGUUUUGUAUAAUUGUUCUGCUUUUUAGUUGGCUCAAGGCAAUGUAGAUAUUAAAAGAUGAUUUGCGUUAUGUUACAAAAGUUUCCAGAUUGCUGCUGCCUUUACCACUACCAAUAAUGAACACAUAAUUCAUGCAAGAUUAACCUGUCAAUUUCUGUCGGUGCUCCGGCAUAUUCUCCCAGUGCCCUUAGGAAUUAGGAUCUCUAUGAUUUCAUGAAUUUGUUACUGUUAUUGGUUGUUAACUGUGUUUUUGAGGGUUAAACCCAUCGAGUUUUAUAAAGAGGGUAGGUGAGAAUAGGAUGUCACGAAGAAGAAAUACAAGAGAAAGGAAAAAGGAGCUACAAGGAGGAAAGUAAAAGUGAAAAAGGCAGCCAAUUUCAAACAAGAAAACCCUUCUAAUUUAGAGUGAAUUUGGUUCGCAUUUGGGAUCGGAAUGGAUUGGAAUAAGUAUAUUUUUUGAUGUAUUUGGUUCGUGACUGGGUUUGGAAUUGGAAGGAAUUUGAAUAUUAGAGCGACUUGGGAUUAGGUUUUGGAGGAUUGGGGCUUUCUAUUUUUUUUCUGGAAUUAGAAUCAAAAUAGGAUUUCUUCUAGCAAAAUGGUUGGAAUGGGAGCCUUAUUAUAAUUUCCAUUUCAGAAUUCAGCUUCCUCCAACUAAACAAUCUGGCAGCUUCAAAAGCAAGAGGCUUGAAUUGCCCAACAAUUUCCAAUCUAGAAGAAAUAAAGCAUUGCCAAGCUGGCCUCCAAUGUCCUUCCUCUCUUUGGGAUGGUCAUGCCAUCUCCUUUUUUGGAAUAUUUUACUUUUUGAUUUUUGGGGAUGUAUUCGUAUUAGAUUUGUGUGACUCAUAGGUCUUAAAAAAGAAAAAAAAAAGAAGCUGGCCUCCAAUGCCCUUCCAUUCUUAGUAACCUUUAAUGGAUUUCCAGAUCAUCUUUGCAAAGGGACAACAGGGGAGUUUGGCUGAUAGUCUGUGUUAGAUUUUCACAGAAAGGGCAUCCAGUGCUAAUAUUUCUCCAUUUCUUUGCUAGGACUUCCCCUUAGCAACCUAAAGAUUUGGGCUGAAAAUUCUGCAAUAUCAGAUCUGUUACUCCGUUCAGUGCCUCUUCUAAGGGCUUAUCCAAGUUCCAGCCUAAAUCCCAACCUAUGGGCUGCAGGAAGGAAAAAAAAUCAAUCGAGAUUUUUUUUUCUUCUCACGGGAUUUAGUCUGGGAGGUAUUUGGUUGAUAGAGCCAUACUAAAUUGGAUGGCUUAAUUCCUAAAUCCAGCAAGAAAUUUAGCUUAAUUCUGUUGAAUUAUCCAAAUGCGCCCUAAAUUUUUCAAAAUAUGUAUUAGGAUGGUACUGUUUCUUCUAUAUUUCAUAGUUUUGGGCAUCAACUAAAGUUCAUCUUGGUUUUGAAUGGUUAUGUAUGCUUUUAUUUCCUAUCAUUUUGUCUUGGAAUUUAUCAUGCCCUAUUGUUUCUUUUCUUGGCUCAGCCUUUUUCAAUCAUUUUGGUCCUUCAUUCUCUUGAUUUCUUUUUGCCUUGUCUCUUAGAUGUUUGAUUCUUGCUUUCUUGUAACCUUCUUACCUCAAUCCCUACUACAGUCAAUGCCUGUUUAUGGCUUCAUUAUUUCUGACUUCACCAUGAUGCCAUGCUUUACUUUGGACAGUUAAAAAUUGGUCUUUUACUCUUAUUACAGGGCAAAUUAUUUUGUGCCUUCCUCUACGGUCCUUGAGCUCUAUCCUUGCUUGUACACUGCCACAAUUUGUUAAGACACUUAAUACUUACACCCUCCUCUAAUAAAAGCGCAUUCUCAUUAGUCCAUCUCCUGCAUAAGAAUAAGAGGGAGCAGUAACUCAAUGCAAUUAUCAAACGGAGAACUGGAGCCAUCAACCUUCCCUUCUUGCUAUCGUCCUUCAGGGCCACUGAACAUGCCCGGCGCUGGUGUAAUUCAACAAUGUUUUAACUUCUUAAGGGUUUUGGCAUGGUCAUCCUUGCUUUGGUCUGGUAGUGCAGAAAAAUCUCUAUUAAUCCUCAUAAUUCUUUCAAUUCUAGCUGUUAUGUGAAAUACUUUUGGCACCAAGAGUGAUAAUUCUGCCUCAAGUUGCACCAACUAAAUGCACUGAUAUUGUCUCAGAAUGUACUACUUUUAAUAUUUGCGGUUUUAAUCAAUGAGCGAUGUAGAUCAAUUAUGUUAGAAUAUCUAGUAACAUGAGUAUUUUUCUCAUACAAUAUCAAAGGGAGGCAAGGAUGAUCAUGAGAAUGAAUAAUUACAUAAAGAUAUAAAAAGAAAUGUUGCCAUGUUAAGCCAAGCCUUCUGAUUGGUACUGCAAAUGAACAAAAUUGUUCAUCCGCAACUCAAAAAAGACAAGCUCAAGCCUUAUUUUGAAGCUUUACUAGUAAAAUAGGCCAACAUGAACUCUCUAAUCUCAGAAAAAAAAUAUUACAGUAACUUUGUUCAUGAUCAUUUAUUAGGAAGGAGCCAAGCUAUGAACAUUUGUUCUAGUAUAUAUCUAUGUGUGUUUAAUUAUAUAUAGGCAUAUUGUACAAUGUGUGUAUAUGUAUGCACACAAAUUAUGUAUAUCAGCCAUUUAUUUGCAUAAUCAACCAUUGUUCAAAGUUAAAGAUUUAGGCUAGCCGAGAAGUAAAAUAAAGAAUGAAAAAAAUAUAGCGACACCUUUUCAAGUUUGAGCGAGAAGCACAUUGACCUAAAAGUUUAAAAAACUUCAGUUGACCUCCAAAAGUUGUUUUUUUGUGUCAAUAUGGUCCGGUCAUCCAUCAUUGUUAGAAAUCAUUAUUAUGUGAUCAUUGCGUGACAAUUUAAUACCUCUGCUAUUUCUGAAAUACCCUUCCUUCUAAUUACAAUUGAGCUUGCAUUUUGGCAAUAAGGGAAGAAAAAUCACAUGGCAGUCGCAUGAUUAUCUUCUCUAACUAUCAGCUAUAAGGGUUACAAUAUCCGGAAUAGGAGGGGAGUGGAAAAAUUUUAUACUUUUUCUAAAUAUUUUUGUACUAAGUUUGAGGGGGUGUCUCUGCAUUUUUCCAGGAUCAAUGAAGUUUAUGAAUUUUGUAUCCAUGGAAAACAUAGGAAUAUAAUUUUAUAUUUAUGAUGUUUAUAAUCUAAAAAUCACAUCUUAGAAUCACAUUUCAGCUAAUAACGAGUCCAAUUUAUUCAUAUGAGAUUUACUCGACACAUUUUGAUUUGGAUGCUCUAGCGAUACUUAACAAGACUUAAUUUGGAUAGCCAUGAUAUUUUAGCCAUACAACUGAGGAAGACAUAUUGGAUGCUACACUUGAAUAAGACUUAAUUUGGAUGGAACAAUUGUUAUAAAGUCACUAAGCACAUUCCAAUUUGUAGAAGAUUGAUUGAGGGGUUGUUAGUAAAGACCGGCACAAGAGUGGCACUAAAUUAGGCUUUAAACUCAGCUAUACUAAACUUUGUACAUACAACUUUAAACUAAUCUCAGCUACACUAAACUCUGUAUAUAUAACUUUGAACCAAUCACAGCUAUACUAAACUCUACACAUACAACAAACUCAGCAGUAUACACAAUUCUAAACCGGUCAUCCAUAUGCAACUCUACUAUAUUAAACACUAAGCUUUAGAAAAUUUAAUCAGACUGUGCUGUACUAAACUCAACACUAAAUUGAACUUUAAACUCAAUACUAAACCAAGCAUAACCAUCCACAUACAAAUCAAAUCACUCAAAGAAUUCCUUGUGACAACAAUUUAAUCAAUUUUAACUCAUGGCAUUUAGAAACUUUGAACUAUUCAAUAUAUAUUACAUUCAAUUCAAAAUACCAUUACUGAAAAUACCAAAAAGACUAGAUUUAAUUCAUAUUUAGCGGCUCAAAAUACCAAAAACACUUGAAAGAUCACAUCACAAAAAACAUUGUGGCCAUCAUAAAAUUAAAAGUAUCAGAAAAGGUGCAUUAUAUUAAAGAUGAGAUAAUAAAAACAAUAUCUAUUGAAACAUAGCGUCAACACAAAGUAUUUGAUGUAUCAAAUUUUCCAAUGUGGUCUUUCAAAUUGUUGGUCAGAGGUUGAGGUUAUGCUCACUCAACUUGCAUCCUUCUGAUUCUUGGAGGUUACAGUUGAGGCUACUCUUGAUAACUCAAAUCUUGUGGCGACAUGUUGCCCCUCCUUGUAUAAUUUUGUUUCUAUACAACAUGAAUAGGUAGAACUAGGCUUAUACCAUUGAUAUACUACCAAGAUUAAAAACUUCUUCUAUGAAGGGGGUUCCCUUGGGAUGCUUGCAGUAAUAUGAUGCUGGGUAUGGCGAGACUAUUAAUAUAUUGCUUGCAGUAAUACUAACAGUUGUGCAGCUGUAUAUCAAAUUUAUUAGAUGGGACAACAACUUGUCCUUUUGCAUUACCCAUCACCUAAAAUUGGAUAUAAAUCUAGCUAGAUUAAAAAAAUGAUUAAGUUAAAACUUAAAAUAUAUGUAAAUGAUUUUAAAUUGAUUUUUUCCCUUCUUGAAAUAGUCCCAUUUCUUGUGCACAUUCAAGUUUCCUUUCCAGGUCAUACCCUUUUAGCACUAGUCCCACCGUAUGGUCUACUCUUUUAUUUGAGCCUCUCUAUUUGCUCUACAGACUUAAGCCUUAGAUAUCUGAACCUUCACAUCCCUCUUCACUCUUACCCUGAAUCCUUUAAUGCUCCAAUUAGUAUCACACUUAUUAUCUUCUACAUAGGUUUGAGAUAACUAUUUGGAUUUGACAUUAUGGUUCUCAAAGUGUAUCAUAUUUAUGUGUAGGCUCAAAUGCUCUUUUAAUCACGUAUAUUUCAACUCUUUACAAGGGGGAAGCAUGAAUCUUACAUCCACUUUUCUUCUUAAAAAUACCUAUGGCCCUAGCCUGUUGAUUGUACUUAUAUAGCCAAAUUCUUUUUGAAUGGAGAAUUGCCUUAAAGCCUUUUCAAACAAAUGUACUGAAGCAAAUAACAUGCCAAGUUUCAACUAUAUAGUCUUACAAGACAUUGGAUUUACCUAAAGCCUAGCAUCCCUAAACCCCUUUAAUGCCAACAUUAGGCCAUGUAGGAUUGCCGAUAAGGCUUGGAAGGCUGUAAGAGGCCAUUAGAUAAGGAUUAUAUCAAAUUGACAUCAAAGAUUGUGGUCCUAAACUCUCUCUAAAACUAACACCAAGCCCUAAACCCCUUUAGGCUUUGCAAUCCAUAUGAAAGACUAUUUGUCCACAUACAAAAAUUCCCUUUAAAUGAAGUACAUAUUUUGAACACCAAAAUAUAAAGAACAUGAAGAUCGCAUUACAAACCCUAACUUAAACUAUACACAUUUUUAAAACAAAUAAUAAAAAAUACCAUAUUGUCAAAAACAAACCAUCAUCAAGGAAGAAAUAUAAAAAUCCCAAAUUUAGAAUAAAGAGCACUUACCCAAAAUAAAGUGCUUUGUGUUCCACGCAGUCUCUUCUUGCUUGAGCACGACCAUACACUAGUUGGUGAAAAAAUUAGAGUUGGAAUCCUCCUAGAAUUGCAAAAAUGCCAUGCAAUGUCGAUUAGGAUGGAGUGCACCAGAAGAUCGCAAUAGUAAAGAAGAAUUAGAUUGGAAUCACAAUAUUUUAAUUGCCAAAAUAGUUAACGGAACCGUAACCCCUUCAAGGAUUAAGUAUCAUAAUUGAUAUGAAAAAUAACUUUUAAGAAUUAAUCGAAACUUUUAAAUUUUUGGGAUAAACAUAUUUCUCGCCCAAAUUUGAAGAAGCAUCACUAUAUUUUUCCAUCUGUAAAUGAUUAAUAGUAUUUUAGCAUUUUUAACCUGUGUAUGAUACUUAGGACCAGAUACAUGGAUGGCUGUUGCGCCAUGUUGACAUUAAAAAAAAAAUGAAGGUCAAUUGAAAUUUUUUUAACUUUUGAGGGCAAUAUAUUUCUCGCUGAAGCUUAAAAAGGUGUUGUUGUACUUAUACAUACACAUUGUAUAAUGUAUAUAUAUAUAUAUAUAUAUACACAGAGGUUGUAUAUCAGCCAUUUACAUGUACGAGCAAUCAUUGUGAUCAGCCGUUGUAUGGAUCUCAAACGGUUGAUGAUUGAGGCUGGCUGAGAAAUAAGACAAAGAAUUAGACCUAAUUGAUGGAACGCAACCCUGUUCAUCCCUCUCCGUCUCCGCUUGGCCUUUCCCCGCAUCCCGCUCGUCCUUCCUCCCGAAAUCCACUCGAUCCCGGCGCUUCUCCUCCAGUCCCAAUCCCUACGACUUCUCCAUCGACCACCAACCACCCUCCUGUUGCCGUGAUGACGAGCCGAACCUGAUCCUAUUUUCCAGUCUCCAGAGCAAUCAAGCUUGCUCCAGACUAAAAAAAUGGCAAAAUUCUUCUUAUCAGCGAGGCGCAUCCUCCUCUCUCGAUCCCCUACAACCCCAUCAAACUUCUUCAGUUUGCGUAGUCUUUGCUCAGCGGCAUUUCGAUCGAUCGAAGACAUCGAUGGUUCGAGCACGCCGACAAACCACCGCCGUCAUUUGAUCCAACUGCCGCCGAUGAUUCCAACCGGUAGGAAUCCCUUGGAAAAGGGAUUUAAUAUCGAUCUCGUGGAUUCCGACCUUUGGGGGGUGUCCUUCGGCUUGGCCUACUCUUGGAAUGGAAUGGAUGGGAAGCCGGAAGCGGCGAAUCCCAUGUCGGAAUUGGUCGAUGAUGGUUCUUCUGAUUGUUCUCCGGAGAUGGUGACGGAAGACACCCCUGAUUUCGACGAGAUCGAGGACUUGAGGCUGCGCAAGAAGUUGUUCUACAAAUUGGAUAAGGGUUCCAAGGAAUUCGAAGAGAACAACUUCAGCUUCCAUCGGAGGACAUCAUCGAAGAAGACGAAGAGGAAUCGUGAGAAGCCAACACAAGCUGAUCGAAAGAAAGAAUUCAAGGAAUCGGAAAAGAAGAUGAAUGCCACCAAGGUUUCAAAGCAGAAGCCCAAAAAUUUAAACCAGGAGAGCGAAAGAGCUCGAAUUGAGGCACCAGUGAUGGAGGGGAAGAAGGUGAGAACGCCCACAUUUAAUCAAUUGACAGAUCCUUACCAUCUGCCAUUCUGUCUGGAUAUUUAUAUAUCGAAAGGAUCUGUUCGUGCUUGUGUUGUUCAUCGGGUCACCUGCAAGGUGGUCGCUGUGGCGCAUUCCAUUUCAAAGGACAUGAAGUUUGACCUGACAUCUAAGAAGGAUGCGACAGCUUGUGCUGCCAUUGGAGAGGUUUUGGCAAAGCGUGCGAUUGAGGAUGAUAUUUACAAUGUGGUCUACACACCGAGGAGAGGGGAAAAAAUCGAAGGGAAGAUUCAGACUGUGCUUCAGUCUAUUAUCGAUCAUGGGGUUGAUGUAAAGGUGAAGCUUAAGCAAACGAGACCCAAAAAGGUAUGCAUUCACUUUGUUGAUUAGUCUUGUAAUAUUAAUAUGUCUCCUCAUUUUAUGAGGUUUUGCUGAUUUUGAACUUGGACCGAAGGUGGCUAUUGUUGCACUUGGUAGGCUUUGUAAAUAUUUUCUAAUAAAAUUCUCUCUUAACAUGUUUUUCUGCAAGGGAACUUUAUUGGUGAUGGUGAGACAGAGAGGAAGCCCUUUAGAAACUUUAUCUUCAGUCUUGGAAUGAGCACCCAUGACUUGAAUGAUAUCCACCUAAGAUCCUUGAAAGGUUCAUGCAGUUGUUGACCGAGAACAUUUCCACUUUGGAUUCAUGAUGAAGGAGCAAUAGUUGCUUCAACAAUCAUAAUAGAAAAUGAAAUAUUUACUUUUUGAAUUUAAUUUUAGAGAUAGAGUGAGAUCAACUGUUCUAGAAUGUAGGAGUUCUGUAUUCAAACUGAGGCUAAAUCAAAUCCCAAAAUUAUUAUCUAACAGUUAGUAAAAUUGGUGCAGUAAUAAGGUCUUUUGCCCCUGUGUUCCUGGAAUUCUUGGACUCCACUUUUUAGGGUGGUUUGAUAUUAUCUUGUUGGAUGAGAUUUCACUAUGCUAUGAGUCCUAUGACGUAGUUAUUGGUGCAAGUGGUUGCUAUCAAUCUUUGAAGAUGGGUCUUAAAGCUUUCUUCUCAGUAGAAAAAAAAUCAGCAUUGCUCAUAACAUGUUAUCUUCAAAUUUAUCCUAGUUUUCUAUAUAAUUUCUUAUGAUAAUGCCAAAAUCUCUUGUAACUCACCAGAAGCUUGCCACAUUUUUUCCUAAGCAAAAUAUGUUCAAGAAGUUAGCUUACAUCAGCAGCUUUUCUGAGCAUUCAGUUCAUCUUAUGACUGGAGGAUUAUGUUUUCUGAGACUCAAAGAUAUGUUUUAUUUCCCAGAUAAUAGAACCAACUCAUACUUCAAUCUUGCACAGGCUUUUAGCUUGAUGAGUUACUACUAUUCUUUGACAUCUUUGUUGAUGCCAGUGCAAAAGCAUGCUCUAUAUCCAGCCUAUAUAUGUUUUCCUAAACAAAGCUUCAUUCAAGUUUCACCAUCUAGAUUUGUAGCAGUUCUAAUUCUGCAUGUGGCAUUAAGACAUCCUCGAAAUCUUUUAUGGACUUGUGUUCCAUUUCCUAUCACUCUUUGUUGAGAGAAAAUCUUGAAUGAUAGUAAUAAUGAUGCAUACAUUUUCAGCAGAAAAAAAUUCUGACACUAGAAGGGAAAAAAGGUGAUGAAAAAUUUAUGAACUAAAACUUCAGAAAGUUGAAUUGGAAAUGGGUGUUUCAUCAAAAAGAUGUUGGGCAAAAUAAGUCUUGACUCCAUGAAAAUUUUAAGAAAAAUUAUGAGUUGAAACUUCAAAAACGUAUAUUGGACAUUAGGGUUUCAUCCAGAUUCCAGAAGAGGAAAGCAAAAUGUAGAUGUCAUUUGUUCUCAGGAAGAACUUUGUUACAACAGUAGAAUUAGGAAUAAUAUGCGUGGUUUGCAGAAGGUUUGUAAUCAUGUUCAUUAUUUCCAAUCAAAUACUUACUCCACAAAGCCUCUAAGCACAUUAUGCAUGACUUAUCCAAUUGAUGUUAUUUUAUAUGGUUAUUUAUUUUUCUUUUUCAUCUUGAAAUUUGACCUUAUGAUCUAGAGUGAUUUUUUUUUGUUUUAGAAGAUAUUUCUUAUAGAACAAAUAUGAUAGAUGAAUCCUUGAUUUGCUUUUGGGGGCUUUUUUGCUAAUGAAAUUGAAUGUAAAACCUUCCAUGAUUGAAAUAAGUUCAACAAUGUUGUAGAGAUUAAGGGUUUAAUUUCCAGUUUCGACCACUGUACCAUUUUUGUCCUAGGUCAGCAUGGUACGAGUAUGCUACCAUCCUGACUCUUGGGCUAGUCUGGCACCAUGGUAUUGUGCUGGGAUUUUUUUUAUUAUUUUUACUUUUUCUAAAAAUUUUUCAAUUAUUAACUUUUAUCUUUAAUAAUUUCAAUAAAUAUUUAAAUAUUUUGAGAUUCUUAAAAGUGGUUUUUGAGUCAAUGGUGGGGUAUAGUACCAAGUAACUACCAACAUUUGUGGUUUGAACAAUUUAGAAAUUACAAAUAAAUAUGAGUGAAACAUCAAUCAUCAAUCAUAUUAUGCAUAAUAAAACCAUGAAUUUAAAUGAAAUAGCAUCCAACUUAAUUUCAAUUCCAAGUGAAGUAUUUCUGGGCCUUGAAUACGUCCAUGUCUUGUUCCUAAUAUAGGAGUGAGCCGUACCUGACCCUUCCUCUCUUUUUUUUUCUUCUCUUCUUUCCUCUCUCUCUCUCUUUGUCUCUUGCUCUCUUUGAUCUUGAGGCCCUCCCAUGAAGAUCAGAGAAAAGAGAGUAUUGGGGGAGGGGGGGGGGGGGCGUCUAUUUUUUGGGAACAAAGGGACUUACUUGGGUCCUAGCUGCUACCUACUGAACUGGCCUUGGAACCAGACUGUCUCAAUCAGUUUCGAGCAGGACAAGCAGAAUGUCUACUUUAUGUCCAAACCUAUAUCUUGGACACCUCCCAUGUAUUGUGCUCUCAGUGCAAUGGGACAGUUCUGGCAGGGCUUGUCGGUACUGCCAGUACCUUAAUCCUUGUAGAUUAUAAUCUUGGCGAUUAUUGCACACAAGCAUAUAAGCUAGAAAAUUUCAAGGAGGCUUUUUGGUGCUAUAAAAUGUUAAAGAGAGAAGCCACGACUUUAAAGAAAGACUAAGAGAUGCACCAUUAAAUAUCAAACUGAUUGAGAUUUAAGUGGGAAAAGAAAAGGUGGAAAAAGAAGAGAACAAGGAGAAGAAGAAAUACAGAACUAAUAGUUUCCCUUCUAACUUCUGCCGUCAGCUUAAGUGCGCGAAAAUAAAAGAAUCAUCCAUCAAGAAAGCGAUAUCAUAGAAUAUGGAAAUAUGAACCAAUAUAAAUCACAUUUACAUUCAGUCAGAUGGAGACUUCCUGUCACACUAUUUCCAUUAUUGGAAAAAUGGACACAUGAUGAUUUUGAACCAGAUCGUUUUUGACUAUCCAGCCAGUUGAUCACCAUAUUUGUAGCAGGGUACUGAUAAUAGCUCAGCAACUUCUUUGCUAUUAGAUUUUGGUCUUUGAUUUAUAUUUUGCUAAAAUAGAUAUUUUUUUCUUUUUAUCCAGUAAGCUGUUUUCCAUAUUCUGUCAAUAACCUGAGAGUUCCCCUGAUGCAAAUAUGCAAAGCAACUAGGACAAUGUCUGGAAUCAGAGCUUAUCGUCAUGACAAACUCAAAGUAUUCUUGUUUGUUCUCCUUGUCGUUUAGAUUAUUUUCGAGAAGUUAUUUUCGAUUUAUUACUGUAACAUUGGUCAGCUUUUAGUAGGCAUAAUAGAUAUAACCAUUUGGUUGAGAUAGUCUGCAAGAAUUGGAAAAAAAAUUUUCAUAUAAGCCAUUUUUAAUUUUUUAAUCCCUGGUUGUAUCCCAUUUCUACAGCCUCUCGAUGAGCCUACUAAGUUAAUUUUUUACAGCAGAGGCUACAGAAUGCCCAUCAAGUUGAUCAUUGUCAAAUAAAUGUUAUAGCUUCCACAAUUUUGAAAUGGUAAAUAGUACACCUGUCAGGUUUCACCCUAUCUGAGAGCUGCAUCACUUUAUCCAUUUCCAAACCAGCAAGGAAAACUAGAAUACAAUCAACUGGAAGUGUCAUGUUGAUUGCAUGAACAUGUUGAAAUCGGGUUAUUGAAUGAGAUCUAGGAUGAUGUUAGAUGUAUGUUUACUUCUGACAUAGCAAUAGGAAGCUUGAUUUCCCGAGCUAUGAUGUUGACUGAUUUGUCACUAAAUACUGAAUAGAUGCUCAUGAACUUUCUGGUUUUUCAUCUCGUCUAUGCCUUUGAUGGCUGUCCUGUUUGUUCUCUGGUGAUAAGGAUGGAUGUCUCAACUAUUAGAUAAAUUGGCACAUGCAAGAAAUCUUAAGGGAAUAAGCAGAAGAGUGAUGGAAGCAUUGGCUAUUCAACCUUCAAAAACUUGUCAAGCAUUAUGGAGAAUUUGUGUACCUUCUAAAGAAAAAUCAUGUUUUAAAUUAUAACAUUACAGUUGAACAUGCCAUUUCUCUUACUCUUGGAGUCUUACAAGUUAAAGCACUCACAACUGUGAUAAUAUCCUAGGAAUACAGUAUUAAUAUCAGGAGGAUUAACAUGUUUCUCUCUGAGUCCAUACCCUGAAGACAGAACUUGACUUACAUUUUUUGGUACUAUAGAUAAUAAUUUAGAUCUAGGAGUUAACCACAAACAUUGGAGAUCAUCUAUCUAAAGUAAAUGGGUACACAUUCACUUAGAUGCUCUAAAACAUUUGCAAAGAACAUCUUAAGUUUUGGGCAAAAGCUUCUUGGUGUAAUAGUGUACCAUGGGAUUUAUUCUUAGAAUGCUCAACAAAACUGAAUUUACACUUUAAGGAGCUACUAACUAUAAUGGGCCCGAACCAACAUGAUGGAUAGAUCUUGCUAGACUAACCGUGUUCUCACAGGGUGGGCCACCAUGGUGGACUAGUUCAGGUCUUACCAGUCUUCAGUUUCCUUCUUUUAUAUAGAUGGAAGCAUAUCUGGCAUAAAUUCUCUCUCAUAAUAAAAUAAAAGGUAGUAAGCUUUUAAAGAAGCUUGGUUUUGCCAGAUUUUCCCUGUUUCUGGCAAUUAGAGGUCAUUAUGCAGUUUGACUGUUUAGUUCAGUUGUUACACAUGGGAGCCUUGAAAGUGAUUCGUUACCAAUAGUUAGCAAAUGAUUCAAUAUCAUUGUCAAGCAUAACCAGUUUGAAAUUUUCUCCAAGAAAAGCCUACAAAGAACUUAUCUUGAUUUACUGGUCAGGACGAACUUUACACAUCUUGAUCCAUGUAGCACAUGCAAGCUGCAAUAUGUUAGAUCUGUAUAAUAGUUGUUCAGUAGACUUUAGGUUUAUUAAGAAUCAUUCUUCCCUAUUCCAUAAAUAGUGUGGCCAGCUAUGACAGUCGGCCAAAAGGUUUUAGACUUGGGCCUGAACCCUCUUCCAAGUCCAUUAGGCUUCCUCAAUAUUGCUUGUUUGUGGUAUUCUAUUGAUAUAGCAAAUAAACUUUUGUCUAGUUGUGAUACAGUGGAUAGCAAACUUUGGGUGUCUAAAGCUCAUUGUUGUAACAUUGUGGCGGAUAGGCUAUCGCUGAUGUAUUUGGAAGUGAUUAUACUCCAAACAAAUUUUAAAGUCAUGCAUAUAUAUCACUUGGCCAUGCAAUGGAAAUAGAGACACUAUUAUGGAGUUACCUAAUAUCAAGUCCCUAUUGAAGGAUAUUAAGCUAAUAGACCAAAUGAGGUUUCUCUGUUGCUUUUUGGAAUAUGUUUCGACUUGGGAUUAUUUAAAAAUAUAUAUAUACUUUUAUUCCAUAUACUUAGUGAGGUUUGAGUUAUUGACUCAUUAUAUUAGAAUAUAGUUGUUUUAUAUGUUAUUUCAUUUCCUUGUAGUCCUUUGUGUAUGUUAUUUUGCCCAUUAUUAUAUAAAGGGGAAAGACUAAUGAUUAAGGACCCAGUCUAGCCUGGUCUAUCCUGGCAGUACUGUGCCGGGUCGAAGAGAGAGGGUCUUGGGAUGCAUCUAGGACCAUAAGUAUCUCUAAAUCCGGUUGUUACAGCAUAUCCUAGUUCCUAAUGGUGGGGAUUGACUGGUUUGGUAGCAUUUUAACCAUUGCCAACUAACAACAUAGCUAGGCCAUGAUGAAAAAUAAAGAGGUCUCUUUGUUUUUGUUGUGGUUCUUGUAUAGGAGAUAAGAAAUGAGAGAAAGAGAGAAUGUGAGAAAAGAGAGGAAGGGCGAGAACAGAGGGAGGAGGUGCUUAGAUCUAGCCUUAUCUUUCUCAAAUUUGGCCUCUUGAACAUUGGAACAGUUGUGGAAAUCUGGUUAGCUUGUCCGCUCACUUUUUUUUACCAUUUAUGUGGUCAAAAAAUAAGAAAGUAAGAAAAAUCAUGAAAAAAUUUCGGAUAAAUUGUAGGGUAGGUAUUAACCUAAGACACAUUUUUUAUUUUUUUGAUGUGUAUUUUAUUGUAUAAAAUUAUGAUAUUUUUAAAAUAAACUAUUUAUUAAAAUAAAAAAUAAUUUCAGAAAGAAAAUUUUGUGGCAUGUUUGCACUACAAAUGUACAUACAUUGCUAAAUUAUUGCAAGAUAUGGAUAAAACUCGAGCACCUUUGUGAGCACCUCAAUCUGUGCUCAAAUUGGGAGACGUAAAAAUAACCUAACCAUAAAGCUUUUCCUUUGGUUAGAGAAAACAUACUUAGUACCCCCCAAAAGCACGAAUCAAGUUUGAUUUUCAAAAUUUCUAUAAUUUUUAAAUUAUUUUUUGCAUAAAAAUUAUUUUAAAAUUAUUAAAUUAAAGUAAAUCUUAAAAAUUUGAAAAAAGUGUAAUUUACAUGUAAAUGUAAAUUAUCCAAAUUAAUCGUAUGAUUGAUAUUUUUGGUUCCAUUUAUUUUAUUUUUUUUAAAAUUUUGUUCAAAUGUUAGGUGCGGGUAGUGGCACUGGAACCAUAAAUCCAAGCCAUCGGCUGAGAAAGCCUAUUUGAGGGCCUAAAGCUAUCUAAAAGUUCUUUAAAAAACAAUAGAGCAAUAAAGGAAAUAGAAAGUGAGGACAUUCCAUUGGCUGAGAAAGCCUAUUUGAGGGCCUAAAACUAUUUAAAAGUUCUUUAAAAAACAAUACAGCAAUAAAGGAAAUAGAAAGUGAGGACAUUCCAUUGUUAUAUAAAGAGCACCGAGUGUUGGAAUAGGAGUGUCCUAGUACCAUGCUGAACCAGGACCAGAUUGGGACAGGUAUCAAUACUGGGAUUUGAACCCUUGGGCAAGACUAUCAUAUAGGAAUUUUCAAAUUAUAGCUGUGCUUCUGCAGAAAGGUUUUAUCUUUUCUUUGAAUCUCUUUCUUUUUCCCCCAUCUCUCAAACUCAAACUACUUCAUACCUUCCUAUGUUGCUGUUUGUCGGAACAGAUUUGUUGUUAUACUGGCUUAACAAGCCAUUGAAAAUGAAACCAAUCAAAACAUUCUUAGGAACCUAAGAUUUGAACUCUAUGCUAACUCAUUUCUUUUGGGGAACAACUAGAUGCUUCUUUGUUAUUUAUCUUAUAAAGUUUGAAAAUAAAAUGUCUAUAUUCCCUUUCAGAUGUGGAAUAUACAAUUAUCAGAUCUAGUUCUUGAUAUGACCACUUAUACAAAUCUGAACAGACUCACUUAUCUGUGUCCUCCCAUGCAACCAUAACCCAUUUAUUGUAACUAUAAUAAAGUUGACAAACUGUCCUAUUUUGGGUCUUGCCCUACUUUAUAAGCACAUCAGACUUUAUUCUUUCCAGGCUGAAGCCUUCAUCUUACAUUGUAGAUCAAAAUCCAGUUCUAGGAGCAUAUCAACAGAGCAUUUUUCAAACAUCCUCAUAAUCUAGAGUCAUUUUUUAUGAAGCAUAGUUGAGUUCUAACAGUUUGAUAUGUUGCAGAUUGCCGUUCAUCCAUUUUCAGAUCAUUCUACAUGACCCUCACAGCAUUUCCAUGAAACAUCCUGCUGUUCUUGUGUAUGCUUGGCCAGUGGGCUUAUAAAUAUUCGGAAGCUCCAAAACGUUAGCAAAUUUCUAUGAGAUUCUCAUGAAACCAGAUUGGUAAACCUACAACUGUCACAGACUCAUAAUGACUUACUUCCACAUUUUGGAUUAGUUAACCAAUUUGACCGAAUUAAGAUUCUGGUUUCCAUCUAUGACUAUUCAGUAUUUUAGGUGCAUGAUGUUUCAAACUUUGGGCAUUCUUGUAAUGUGCUUUUAAAAGCUCGAGCAGGUAUCUAUAAGAUUGGCAUUUUAGCACAUUUUAGCUAUAUAAGUUUUCUAAGCUCAACGAUAUUUUUGAAGUAUCUACUUUGAUGCUCUGGUCCACCCUUUCAUGGUCCAACUCCUGGUUCUUCCACAAAAUUAUCGAAAUCUUUUAGAACUUACAAGGGAAAUGAGUUGUGAUAUUGAUUAGAGUCAUCCAAUUCAUGCACCAUUAGAAAAUUGUUUUGUAUAUGCUGGUUGCAACUAAUUAGCACAAGGGAUUAGUUAUAAUCUUUUCUUUGAGCAGCUGAUAUUGCUAGAUGGUCUCAAAGAACUUCGUAGAAAAAUAGAAAAAAGGAAAGAAGAGUUUUGGUUCUAUAAUAUAUUUUUGGAUUUCUUUUUCAAUGUAUUUUCAGUACUCUUGGAGCUUUGUAGGAUUGUGUUUCUUGGCAUAAGGAGUUGCAAGUCAUCAGUAGGAUUUCUUAGUUUUUAGUUGAUUAAUCUUAGUUCCAUCAUAACUAGGUCUGGAAUCCUAAGAUUAGAAGAUAUCAUUCUAUGGUUGAUUAGCUGUCUACAAUGGGAGGUGCAUGAAGAGUGACAACCUUUUGUAUGGUUUUGGGUUUACUUUGAAAGUAGUUUCUUUACGGAGGAUUGGGUUCUUUUUACCUUAAGCUUGCCCUUUCUUUUGUUUUCAGCCUAUGAAACAUUCUUCUUUCCUUCCUCUCCCAAUUUAUUAUCAUCAACCAGAGUAAAAGUAGUGAAAAUAUUCAGACUAAAUCAGACCUAUCAGAUCAGUGCAACAUAAAUAUCCAAGGCCUUUAUUCAUUUCAGCUGUGUUUGGUUCAGGAAUAAAAAUGUCAGGUUAGCGGGAUUUUUGUGUGGAAAUUACUUUUUCCUUUCUUUUUUAAGAAGUAGGAUGGGAGAAAUUCCAGUGAAAAUCAGGGUGUCAGGGACUCAAACCCAGGUUCUUGGUACAAGCUCUGGAAGACUUUACCAACUACACUAGUAGGCAUCUCAAGAAUGGAUGGUUAUAUUUUUCCAAGGAUCAAGUUAUUUCUUUUAAGUGGGGUAAGUAGGCUAAGAAAAACAUGAGCAUUUACUGGGUACCAACUUUUGAAGAAACGCUUGUUUUGCCCUCUAGAUAUAACAUGGGUGCUCAAGUGACCGUUUGGCUAAAUACGAUUGGAAUAAUGGGUUAAAGGACUGAGUAAAUCCUGAAAAACUAUAUCAAAUGUUAUACUCUUCAGGAUGCAUGCUUAGAAGGUGAUAUUGUACUGGUUACUAAUUGACUAGUAAUGGACAUUGUAGGUGGAUUUCUAGCUGCUACUGGAAGAGUUAACUAAUCCUGACAUAACUUUUGGGUGACUUGUCGUUCUUUUAAUGAUCAUCUUUUGUGUCUUUAAUUGUUUUUUCCAUCACAGAAUUUCAUCUUAUUUUUCAUUAAGUUUUUUUCUACUAAUAAUUUUAGAAUACCUUAUCAAUUUAACAUACUGUUAUAGGUUUCAUGGUUUGCCCAAAUUAUGCAGCAUAUCAGUACUCUUUGAAGGUCUUCUGACUAGUGUUCUCUGUUUCCAUUUUAUACAAACAAUAUAUGAUAGAUCCUUUGUUUUUUAAUAGUCAGCAAGCUAUUUAGGCAGACUGAGAUUAGCUUAGUCUUGUUGAAACUUGAAAAAUUACCAGAAAAGGUCAAACUAUGAUAACAAACCUCAACUGUCCCACUAUUGUAGUUAAAGAAUCUUACCAUCAAAUGGUGAAGCUGAUGUAGAGAUUUAAUCUUACAGCAGAGUUAGACAGGUGACAUGACAUGGAACUUUGUUACUUGCUUUGACUAACCUGGUAUUUUUGCAGUAUGACAUUUUGCGAAGAGUUCAUAUGCCAUCAAUCAGUGAUUUUGUUUGCUUUUCUCUGUGCAAAUUUAAGCUGCAUCCUAAUAACAGGAGCUCACCUUGAUGAUUUUUUUCUUUUAAUAGAAACUGCAGGUGGAUAAGAGUGAUUAGGCACGAUGAUCAAAUCACAACCUCAGAGGCAGAUUUCUGCCUUAGAAGAGCUGCAGCUUCAGCAGUUUUUUUAUGAUCGGAAGAUGGACGUGGUAAAAGUUAAAGAGGCAUUUGAAAUAAAAACGUAGAAUUGUUUGUCUUCAGCAGCAGAGGUAUGCUCACUACGAAAGAUUCGAACUGUUACUCUAGUUGCCGGUAUGUUUUCUGCUUGAUUGUCCUCAUGAUAGGUAUCUCUCUGAUUCAAAUUCUCACUAAAGCCUGAACAAUUUCCUUCUCUGCUCAGAUCAUUCACAUCCUCCAAUCAAGUUACCUUACACAAGGGCUUUGUUUAGUAUCAGAAUGCCUCAAUAGUCUACCAAUGAUCGUUCUUGCUCCUGUUAUGCUUAUGAGCAGUUUAAGCAGCAACUGUUUGGGCAUCUGGCUGGUUCAUUGCAGUUGUUUUCAAACAAUCAGCAUGGAAAAAAUACAGAGAUUGUGAGCAUGUAAUAUGAGAAUGAAUUAUCAAUUAAAUACAUGUUAAACUAUUUUCAUGCCAAGCAUGAGAGUUAUCAUAAAGAUGAAUCAUAUACUACUACAAUGGAAUUUCUUGAGGAAAAUAAAAAAUCCUCUCCUAAUGUCUUAAACAUAUUAUUUGUUGAUCAGUAUGCUUUCUGGCAAGGGCAAAGCCUAUGAGGCUUUCAGAUUGCUCAGAAAAAGAAUUGAGAUAGUGUUAGUUUUUUUUUUUUUUUUUGUAUAGGCUUUAUAUGACAGGUUUUGUCAGUGAUUCUCUGUGUGGUAUUGAUUGAUGGUAUUUUCAAUCUGGUAUCAUGGAGGAUCUAAUUGGUUGAAGGUCCUGAUCUUGGAAAAAUAUUAAAUCUGAUUUUUCACUUAUGAUUCUUUAGUAACAAGUUUUGUAGAUUUAAAGAUAUGACAAGAAAAGGUUGACAAUCAAUACUGUGAUUUGUAACAUGUUGCCUGGUGAAUUAUGUAUGGAAGGAAUUGGGAAUGCUGUUAAGCUAUUAAAUUAGUUGUUAGAUAUGGGUUUAUAACUGCAUUUUCUGGUUCAAUAACUUUCUUGAAUGAGUUCUUUAAGAGAGGGAACCUGAUUUAAACUUACAGAUGAGGACGCAGAAGGAUGGAAAGCAUGCAAAUGUGGUCAGAUAUGAGAUUAUCAAGUAUGUAUGUGGAACUGUUGAGACAGAAGAAUCAAAUCAAAACACCAAGAGUUUAUGCUUCCUAUAAUUCUGAGACCCAAGGUAAUCAUGGCGAAAACCUCGCUAGAAGUAUGUUGAUUUUGAAAAUAAAGCUUGAAGCUUCCAGGGCAUCAAAUAUUAUUGCUAGUGAAGCUUUAAAACUCACAAAUGUUUUCAUAUGACUUGAAAUCACUAAUUGGCUUACUUUUAAACUAAUACUUCCUGGAGGAUGAAUUACUAUUAUACUGGGUGCAGUGGCAGGAUGUGGAACAACGUUUUAGAUUUGAUAUUGGUGUUAAGAGUGCGAACGACCCAGCAUACAAAAGAGUAUGCUUUGGUCACUUCGCUCAAGCAUUUUUGACAGCCGUUGUAUAGAGAUCAUUUUAGCGUGAUAGCAGCACAAUGAAAAGUGAUAUCUAAGUUUUCAUUGUGUCAUGGAAAUCUAAUGAAAAUUUUUUUAGAGGUGCUUGUAGCUUUCGAUAAGUUCCUUAGUGUAUACUGUAAUUUCAGUGGAAAAUGAGAUAGUGUAGUAGUAAGUAUGGUCUACUGUACCACCUAGUACGGAGCUAUAUCGGAAGAAAAUAAGUAUGAAAGUUAUCAAGUCGGUACAAGCUCCGGACCGCUUAUAUCAAGACGUACCAACCUCUACCGAGGUGCACCAAAGUGCGUACUGAUCCGUACUAAAAUAAAAAUUGAAAAAAAUGCUUAGAGAGUUAUUUUAGUAUAGAGGUAUCGUACUAUACCAAAUCAAUAAGGUACUGAUACCAAGAUUGCGGACCUUGAUUGUAAGUAUAGUAAUAUGAAAUAAUUUGCAGUGGGGUGGUAAAGAAACAUGGUGACUUCUAUCCUGAUAGUGAUUAAAGACAUGGUUUUUCAGAACCAGCUACACUGUAUAAUAUAUCAGAGACAUGACUCUUUGUAGACACUCUUGCUAUGUUUUUCAUUCUUUCAACCAGGAUUCAACUUGACUAUUGCCUUACAUUGUGACAUAAUGUUGGCAAGGUUUCUCCAGGUCCCAUGGUUGCCUCAGAAGCAUUCACUGUGACACUUGAUUAUCAUGCCUGCAUUGUCCACUUUCUAUUUUCUUUUACUGAUCGAGCCUCCAUCUCAUCUUCCUUUGGGAUCCACUUCAAUCCUUAUUUGAAGCCUUCUUCCAUGAUUUUAGCCAGUAAAAACAUCUAUUAUUGUCUUCAAUAAUAAAUUAAAACCUGGAAUUUGUUUUUUUUCCAAUAUGACUCCAUUGCUUCAUUUGGUUUUUCACCCCUUUGACUUGAAAAUGAUGUACAUCUAAAAUCUCCUCACUAAAAAUUCUGAUGAUUCAGUCCUCACACAAUUCUGCCUUGAGUUCUUGUAAGAUAAAGAUGACAGGGGCCCAACAUUGUAUCAAUAUUAUUUUGCACGCUAAGCAACAAUUUGUCAGACUUUUGGUGUUGAAAAAUCCAUUGUUAUUUUAUUUUGAUACUUGGACUAGCCUGCAUAAAAUGACAAGAUAUUUUGUGUUCCAUCAAUAAUGAAGGUAAGAAACUGUCCAACUUUUUAUUCAUAAUCAAUUUCUAACUUUCGUCCACAACAGAAUUAUAAAGGCACACUAAAAUCUUAGCAAAUCUGGAUCAGUUUAAUGAGGAACUAUAUGAACAAGCCUUCUUGCCACAAGAAAACUGAUUGGUUGCAAUAUCUUGGCAUGAAAACCAACAUAAAAUAUCAUUUCAAUACCUAUCAUUUGUAUAAAGGAAUAGUAUGCAACCAAAGAUAAAGAUGUAACUCAUAUUCAGGUUAAAAUUGCAAACAAAGAAAAUUCCAUCUUAUUAAUAAUAGUAUGGUUGUUUUAUUAGUAAGCAAAACUGAAAUUUUGUAAAGUAGGUUAAACAAAUCAAACACAAUGUGCAAAGUGGUGGGUGGGUAAGUUGUAAGUUCAGCGCUUGAUAUUUUUAGUUCAGCUUCAUCCAGUAUCACAAGGAUACUACGAGAAUUGGCCCAAUCGGGCCCCUUUCUAAUUGAAGCCGGUAUUGCCCACCGAUUUCCACCGGAAAACUUCAAAAAAAUUUGGGAUCAAAGUAGAGGAGGAUGCGUUCCUCCUCUGCCCAAUCCUCGGGCUGUUGGGAUGAGGCUGACCCUAACCUUGGUUGGUGGGCAUUCGUCGGGCCGGUGCAAACGGCCAGCGACUGUUGGGGGCAGCUGCAACCGGCGAACGAUUACCCGAUUUGAGCUUAUCGUCUCUCUCUAAAAUCCUUUAUAAGUACCCCAAGUCCCCUCUAUUUGAUUCACCAGAAUCUUUCGUCACUUUUCCUUCUUCACUAGUGGCCACUGCACCACCUUAGCCAAGUGCCACUGCUGAACUCCCAUCCUCCUCUCCAUUGUGCCCUGACUAUCUUGUUUUCCUUGUUUUUCUCUAUUCUGAGCAUUGCCGCCAUAGAUGUCACCAGGCCUAGUUGUUUUCAGCCGAGAUCCACUAUCUCUGUCAUGCACGGUGAGCUUUCCUUCCCUCCUCCUUUUUGGUUCUUCCUUAUGUUGAGCUAUUUUCCUUGUUUUUUGGCCAAAUCGAGACUUACUUCUUGGUCUUGCCACCUAUGCAGGCCGCUACCACAGUCGCCGUUGCUUUUGCCGCCGGCUCCAUCAUGAGUGGUCACUGGAUCCCUAGCACCCACUAUCAGACCUUCUUUUCUUCUCUUCCCUCUCCUCUCUUUCCUCUUAUCUUUCUCUCCAUUCUAUCUUCUCCUUCCUCCUCUAAUUCUUAUUUCUUUUCAUUUUUAUUUAUUUAUUUACAUAUGGAUUAGUUUCUCAAAUCCUCUUUUCUCUCUUUUGACUCAUGGGCUAGAUAUGUUAAUUGAUCUAGAUCGACCCAUGUCAUUGACAACCAAACUCAGACCCCCGAUUGAACCCAGAUUGAGAUUCUCUCUCUUUCUCUCUCUAAGCAAGACCUAGGAAUCUUAGUUUAAAACUAUGACUCUCUUUUGGUUGGAUCCAAGUUGACCCUAGGGUGGACGUCCUGCACCGCCUCGAUACCCGGGGCUACAUACCGGACCGGUACCCCUAGCCUUGUCAAGAACCCUUAUAAUUUGGUUACUCUUGACCUUUUUUAAGCCACUUAAGUCAUAACUCAUUUUAAUCACUUGAGUUCAACUUUCUCGGACUGACCCGGGUAGUCGGGCACUACCAUCUGACCAAUCUGAUUUGAGGGCGUAAAGUCGUAUCCCCAAUAGUAUUUUAAUUUUUAACUUUUUUGGCUUCUAAAAUGAUGAUGAAAUUAAUUAUAUUUUAAUAAUAUUAACAUAUGUGAACCUAGCCCGCUACCUAAAAUAGGAUUUUAAAGCAAGAAGAGCUAAGUAACCUAAUGCUUCAAAGUUUAUUUUCUGAAUUUUGGUAAAAUGAUAAUUAGUUUAUUAAAUAUGAUUAUGAUACCUGUUUUAUACUUGGUCAAAUAGAUCGGGCAUAUUAUUAUUACAAUAAUAAAUCUUUUUAAAUAUAUUAUGAAUUAUGUUAUGAAAUUUGGAAAAUAUGACUGGAUAAAUUUUGAAAUUUAUUUUAUAUGUAUGUAUUCUUAGCAUGGCUAUGAUCUAGCCCUGUCAAUGGAAAUUAUUUGUUUGGCCCUGCUGACUUAUAAUCUGAAAAACUGGUUUCGAUACUAAGCCACCAGUGAUUAGAAUAGUAGUAUCUAGCACUUUGUGUAUCUAUAUCUGACCCAUGCCACUGGAUUAUGUGGCCAUAGCCUGAUGUUGGCUCUUUAAUAUUAGUUGAUAAAAAUAAUAAUAAAUUUUGAAAAAGAUAUGCGUAUUAUUCAAAAAUUGAUUUAUCCUCAGUUAGUAUCAUGCUCUUUAAUUAUUUAUUUAUUUAUCAUGCUUAGAUUCCACUUUUUAGUGUUAUAUUGCUUACUAGGCUAGUGUAGCUUAUUAUUAUUUUUUUCUCUACUUUUCAAAUUUUGAAUCAUGAUUGUUUGCAAUUUGGGGGAGUGUGCUAGAUCUUCUGAAGACAUUCGCAAUUAUUGGAGUUCUUGUUUAGACUAGUUUAGUUAGAAUUUUUUAUUUGAUUUGAAUUAGUUAGUAUAUUUUGACUUAGGACACUUUGAAAUAAUUGAUUAUCGGAAUGAUUUGUUUUAGAUCUUGAUUAAACUAUUUUCCAAGAAUCGAAAAAUUAUUAUUGUUUUGAGAUUAUGAUAUGAUCUAUAGCCUUGAAUGCUUGUAUGGUCUGCCAAGCAAGUAUGCGGCAUUUAUUAUGCUUUGGGUUUGGGGCGUGACAGGUUUAGUGAUAUUAGAGCCUAGGUUUUAGGAUCCUUAAGAUUCGUCGGAAAAGUUGAGAGUUGGGUAGGAACUAGACAAUAGGCUAAUAUUAUUUGUUUCUUGUUAAUAACCUUCUGCUAUUUUGUUUGGAUGUUAUUUGUGAUAAUUGUUUUAUUUUUUCUGAAUCAGAAUGCCGCCUCACCAUACCCGUAGUUUGAAUGAGACGGUUGGGGACUCUCAGGGUGGAGCCCCUACUAACCAAGCCGCCAAGGCAUCUCGGAGUCCAGGGCACCAUAAUGUGGCCUCCAAAAUUUACCAAUAAGGCGGCACUGGUCAAUAAAUAGUGAAUCAACCAAUUCUGGGUCAGCCAAUGGUGAUACAAGGGAAUGUAGUUGGAAACCAAACUCGGGUGCUUGAACUAAUUAAGAAAGUUGUUGGAUUGGUACGUCAAUAGAGGUAGCAACCACAACACUUAGUCUAGCAUGAUGUUGAUCUAGCUGAGAAAAAAGGGGUAUAACUAAAUUCAAAAGGGUGGCUCCUCCAACUUUUAAAGGUACUACUAAUCUUCAUGAGGGCAAGGCUUGGAUUGAUGAGAUGGAAAAAGCCUUUAGGAAAAUGGAGUGCACUGAUAAAGAAAAAGUUAGAUUUGCCACCUAUACACUUCAGGAUAGAGCUCAUCAUUGGUGGAAGUCUGUGGAAUGCACAUUGGCUCAUGAGCAUAAGUUAGUUACUUGGCAGAGGUUCCGCACUUCCUUCAACUCCAAGUAUUUUCCUUUAGUCGUCUGAGAGAGCUAAAGAAGAAAUUUCUUAAUUUGUUUCAAGGAGCUGUGACUGUGGAUGAGUAUGAGGCCGAGUUUGAUAAACUGUCCCAGUUUGCUCCCACCCUCAUCAUGGAUGCAGAGUCCAGGAUGAGGAGGUUUGAAGAAGGGUUGAAGCCACACUUAUGUCAGAGUUUGGCCGCAGUGCACUCAGCAAAUUAUGAUAAUUUGGUAGAUAGGGCCAAGAUCAUGGAGAUUAUUAUGAAAAGAAACUUGAGAUACAAAGUCGUGAAGUAAAAGAAGAGGAGCAAAGAUUUUGAUACUCAGAGUGGAUAGAACCCUGGCGCACCUGCAAAAUCUCGUGACAAGUCUUGGCAUAUGGGGAUACAAGAAUCUUUUGGAAUGAUUGCUAAAUAUGAAGCAUGUGGUGGUGUUCAUAAGACCAAGAUUGUAGACGGUUAUCCGGAGCUUGUUUCAAAUAUGGCCAACAGGGCCAUAAGAUAGCAGAGUGCCUUCAGAAUCAUCAAGAGUCUUAAUCAAUUCAGAGGGCCCAGGCUACUAAGACUUAGCAAGUGCAAGCUUCUUUUGCUCCAACUCAAUCAGCUCAAUCGUCUUCUUCCAAGCAUCAAAAGGGGGGAGACCAUGCACUCAGGGCUGUGUUUAUGCAUUGACUUAACAGGAUGCUCCGGCAGAAAGAAAGACGAACACAAAG
rnacentral:lncRNA from 1 species